GACGAACGCUGGCGGCGUGCCUAAUACAUGCAAGUUGAGCGCUGAAGGUUGGUACUUGUACCAACUGGAUGAGCAGCGAACGGGUGAGUAACGCGUGGGAAAUCUGCCUUUGAGCGGGGGACAACAUUUGGAAACGAAUGCUAAUACCGCAUAAAAACUUUAAACACAAGUUUUAAGUUUGAAAGAUGCAAUUGCAUCACUCAAAGAUGAUCCCGCGUUGUAUUAGCUAGUUGGUGAGGUAAAGGCUCACCAAGGCGAUGAUACAUAGCCGACCUGAGAGGGGGAUCGGCCACAUUGGGACUGAGACACGGCCCAAACUCCUACGGGAGGCAGCAGUAGGGAAUCUUCGGCAAUGGACGAAAGUCUGACCGAGCAACGCCGCGUGAGUGAAGAAGGUUUUCGGAUCGUAAAACUCUGUUGGUAGAGAAGAACGUUGGUGAGAGUGGAAAGCUCACCAAGUGACGGUAACUACCCAGAAAGGGACGGCUAACUACG
rnacentral:rRNA from 1 species